UGAAAACCGAAGUUUACAUUCCAUCUUCAAAAUGAGAUACUGCAAGAAUGCCAAAAAUCCAGCACAGCCUUCUCAAGUAACAAUCCAAUCCUUGAGGGGACAUUGGGAUUUUGAGUUGUGGAAUUUUCCACCCAUUUAUCCUUUCAUUUUCAGUCUUCUUUGCCUCAAAGUGUCAGUUGGCUCCUCUGAGUCACAGCUGUACAAAUCACAGGACUAUUUUUUUAAUUGGCACCAGGCAUAUACAUUAUUCAUCUAUUUGGUUUCAUCUGAAGCAAAUCAAAUAAAGAAGCACUUUUAUUUUCCAAUGAAAUAUUCAAAGCUGCUUUUUCCCCACAAGAGACUAGGCAGAAAACUCCAUCCAUGAUCUAUGUAUGAAGGAGAGGAUUCUGAGGCUCAGAUGUGUCACCUUGGAGGAGAGUUCAGCACAGCUGACUCAGAAGUUAUGCCUUAGAAAUGUGAAGACCUGCCUGAGGAGGAAGACUUAUGUAACAUUAGAAGGAAAAAAAAAAAGAAAACCUGAUCCUAAAGUCAUGUCUAUGCUGAUUAUAAUCUCAGUCAUUUAUUUCUGCACCAUCAUGCCUGCAUGCCUCUGUCUCCAAGGAAUAAGAAUAUCAGAUAUGAAUGAAAGCUGCAAAGAAGCCAGAAAGAUAGAGCCCAGAGUCUCCCAAGAUUGUCUCUCUCAUUGCAUACACAAAGGAGACUCUGAAAUGGGACACUGGAUUUACAAAAAUAAGAAGAAAUAAUAGCUUCUUCCAUAAUAGAAAUUAGGCUAAGAAGAGAAACUGAAGGCAUAUGAUGCUGUAAUUGAACAGAAACAAUAAUAAUAAAGACAGUUUGUAAUGUGGAACACUUGGAAAGAAAUUAAUAAAUGAUGGAUAGAAAUCUUUCUGAGACUGAAAACUGAGUAAUUCUCUUACAGGACCAAAACAUUUCCUUCAGGGAACCACUAUGGCUAGGAAAUUGAGACAAGAUUUCCUACUCACCUGCCCACAAUGUGCUC
rnacentral:lncRNA from 1 species